AGCCCCCUACGGGAGGCAGCAGUGGGGAAUAUUGCACAACGGGCGAAAGCCUGAUGCAGCAACGCCGCGUGAAGGAAGAAGGGUUUCGGCUCGUAAACUUCUAUCAACAGGGACGAAAGAAAUGACGGUACCUGAAUAAGAAGCCCCGGCUAACUACGUGCCAGCAGCCGCGGUAAUACGUAGGGGGCAAGCGUUAUCCGGAAUUACUGGGUGUAAAGGGUGAGUAGGCGGCAUGGUAAGCCAGAUGUGAAAGCCUUGGGCUUAACCUGAGGUU
rnacentral:rRNA from 1 species